rnacentral:rRNA from 1 species
CAGCAGCCGCGGUAAUACGGAGGGUGCAAGCGUUAUCCGGAUUUACUGGGUUUAAAGGGUGUGUAGGCGGACUUUUAAGUCAGCGGUGAAAUCUCCGGGCUCAACCCGGAAACUGCCAUUGAUACUAUUGGUCUUGAAUAUUGUUGAGGUGGGCGGAACGGGUCAUGUAGCGGUGAAAUGCAUAGAUAUGACCCGGAACACCGAUUGCGAAGGCAGCCCACUAAGCAAUGAUUGACGCUGAGGCACGAAAGCGUGGGGAUCAAACAGGAUUAGAUACCCUGGUAGUCCACGCCCUAAACGAUGAUUACUCGACGUUGGCGAUACACCGAUCAGCGUCCAAGCGAAAGCAUUAAGUAAUCCACCUGGGAAGUACGUUCGCAAGAAUGAAACUCAAAGGAAUUGACGG